rnacentral:rRNA from 1 species
GGUGAGUAAUGCUUGGGAACAUGCCUUGAGGUGGGGGACAACAGUUGGAAACGACUGCUAAUACCGCAAAAUGUCUACGGACCAAAGGGGGCUUCGGCUCUCGCCUUUAGAUUGGCCCAAGUGGGAUUAGCUAGUUGGUGAGGUAAUGGCUCACCAGGGCGACGAUCCCUAGCUGGUUUGAGAGGAUGAUCAGCCACACUGGGACUGAGACACGGCCCAGACUCCUACGGGAGGCAGCAGUGGGGAAUAUUGCACAGUGGGCGCAAGCCUGAUGCAGCCAUGCCGCGUGUGUGAAGAAGGCCUUCGGGUUGUAAAGCACUUUCAGUCAAGAGGAAAGGUUAGUAGUUAAUACCUGCUAGCUGUGACGUUACUGACAGAAGAAGCACCGGCUAACUCCGUGCCAGCAGCCGCGGUAAUACAGAGGGUGCGAGCGUUAAUCGGAAUUACUGGGCGUAAAGCGUACGCAGGCGGUUUGUUAAGCGAGAUGUGAAAGCCCCGGGCUCAACCUGGGAACUGCAUUUCGAACUGGCAAACUAGAGUGUGAUAGAGGGUGGUAGAAUUUCAGGUGUAGCGGUGAAAUGCGUAGAGAUCUGAAGGAAUACCGAUGGCGAAGGCAGCCACCUGGGUCAACACUGACGCUCAUGUACGAAAGCGUGGGGAGCAAACGGGAUUAGAUACCCUGGUAGUCCACGCCGUAAACGAUGUCUACUAGAAGCUCGGAACCUCGGUUCUGUUUUUCAAAGCUAACGCAUUAAGUACACCGCCUGGGGAAUACGGCCGCAGGGUUAAAACUCAAAUGAAUUGACGGGGGCCCGCACAAGCGGUGGAGCAUGUGGUUUAAUUCGAUGCAACGCGGAGAACCUUACCUACUCUUGACAUACAGAGAACUUACCAGAGAUGGUUUGGUGCCUUCGGGAACUCUGAUACAGGUGCUGCA